UACGUAGGGGGCAAGCGUUGUCCGGAAUCAUUGGGCGUAAAGAGCUCGUAGGCGGUCUGUCGCGUCUGCUGUGAAAACUCGGGGCUUAACCCCGGGCCUGCAGUGGGUACGGGCAGACCAGAGUGUGGUAGGGGAGACUGGAAUUCCUGGUGUAGCGGUGAAAUGCGCAGAUAUCAGGAGGAACACCGAUGGCGAAGGCAGGUCUCUGGGCCACUACUGACGCUGAGAAGCGAAAGCAUGGGGAGCGAACAGG
rnacentral:rRNA from 1 species